AUUGAACGCUGGCGGCAUGCCUUACACAUGCAAGUCGAACGGUAACAGUUUAAGCUGACGAGUGGCGAACGGGUGAGUAAUGUAUCGGAACGUGCCCAGUCGUGGGGGAUAACUGCUCGAAAGAGCAGCUAAUACCGCAUACGACCUGAGGGUGAAAGCGGGGGAUCGCAAGACCUCGCGCGAUUGGAGCGGCCGAUAUCAGAUUAGGUAGUUGGUGAGGUAAAGGCUCACCAAGCCGACGAUCUGUAGCUGGUCUGAGAGGACGACCAGCCACACUGGGACUGAGACACGGCCCAGACUCCUACGGGAGGCAGCAGUGGGGAAUUUUGGACAAUGGGCGCAAGCCUGAUCCAGCCAUGCCGCGUGCGGGAAGAAGGCCUUCGGGUUGUAAACCGCUUUUGUCAGGGAAGAAAAGGUUCUGGCUAAUACCUGGGACUCAUGACGGUACCUGAAGAAUAAGCACCGGCUAACUACGUG
rnacentral:rRNA from 1 species